UCAGAGAACUACUUGUAUUCCCAUUCAAACACAAGUCCAGAACAUAUAUAACAAUUACUGAUCUAACUCGAAUUUCACAGUUAGAAAUCCGAACAUGCUUGUGAAGAAGAAGACAUCGCGGAUGGUGGACUAAUAGCGGACCGUAGCCGUCGAGAUGCAGCCCAACACCACAACCACGGAGGUCAUCGACCUCAACUGAAGCGGAUCAAUGGAGGUCACAACCUUCAUGGCCGCGGAUCUCUCUGUCACUCCAAAAAAUCGAGCGAAUCGGACCUAGCCAAGCCUCGAUGCCACGGCCACGAAAGUGGGCUGACCUCACACAGCCACAGAUCUGGGGUUGCGUGAGGUAAAGGACCUCCAUGGACACGGUAGCGACCCAAGAUCGAGGGUUGCCUGGAGGUCCAAGCUUAGUGGUGUUGAAUUAGACGUCCUGAGCUCGAAUCCGACCUCAGUGGCGUUGAAUUUGACCCAAGCAUCCUUGCCUCGGUCGCCCUCCAUUAACUGAUGACAACUCGAUCUUCUUCCUCGACUUGACUGUUGGUUCCUCAGCUCAAGUCUUCUUCAGAGGAAGAUCAACAGAUCGGGCUCGUUGGGUUGGCCGAACCUCCAUCGUGGUCGAAUGGUGUUGAAUUUGACACAAGCUUGAAUCAAGUGAGAAUGACCUUUGCCCAACCCUCCCUAGGCAUCUUCGGUGUCCGGCCAUCAUCUGAGACCGGCUUGGGAAAAGGAAAAUAAAAAACAAAAAAAGAAACCAAAAAAAAAAAGGAAAAGAAACAAAAAGACGAAAAUGACCUUACUAGCUGAAAAUGUCAACUUCAACCUCUUAUUUGCCUGGCUAAAUAAUCGAGAUGGCAAGGAGCU
rnacentral:lncRNA from 1 species